UACGAGGGGAGCUAGCGUUAUUCGGAAUUACUGGGCGUAAAGCGCACGUAGGCGGCUUUGUAAGUAAGGGGUGAAAGCCCAGAGCUCAACUCUGGAAUAGCCCUUUAGACUGCAUCGCUUGAAUCCAGGAGAGGUGAGUGGAAUUCCGAGUGUAGAGGUGAAAUUCGUAGAUAUUCGGAAGAACACCAGUGGCGAAGGCGGCUCACUGGACUGGUAUUGACGCUGAGGUGCGAAAGCGUGGGGAGCAAACAGG
rnacentral:rRNA from 1 species